AGUGAACGCUGGCGGUAGGCCUAACACAUGCAAGUCGAACGGCAGCACAGUAAGAGCUUGCUCUUACGGGUGGCGAGUGGCGGACGGGUGAGGAAUACAUCGGAAUCUACUUUUUCGUGGGGGAUAGCGUAGGGAAACUUACGCUAAUACCGCAUACGACCUACGGGUGAAAGCAGGGGAUCUUCGGACCUUGCGCGAUUGAAUGAGCCGAUGUCGGAUUAGCUAGUUGGCGGGGUAAAGGCCCACCAAGGCGACGAUCCGUAGCUGGUCUGAGAGGAUGAUCAGCCACACUGGAACUGAGACACGGUCCAGACUCCUACGGGAGGCAGCAGUGGGGAAUAUUGGACAAUGGGCGCAAGCCUGAUCCAGCCAUACCGCGUGGGUGAAGAAGGCCUUCGGGUUGUAAAGCCCUUUUGUUGGGAAAGAAAAGCAGCAGGUUAAUACCCCGCUGUUCUGACGGUACCCAAAGAAUAAGCACCGGCUAACUUCGU
rnacentral:rRNA from 1 species